GUCGGUAAAACUCGUGCCAGCCACCGCGGUUAUACGAGAGGCCCAAGUUGAUAAGCAUCGGCGUAAAGAGUGGUUAAGGGACCAACUAAACUAAAGCCAAAUGCCCUCCAAACUGUUAUACGCACCCGAGCGCCAGAAACUCAACCACGAAAGUGGCUUUACAACCCCUGACCCCACGAAAGCUAUGGAACAAACUGGGAUUAGAUACCCCACUAUG
rnacentral:rRNA from 1 species